GUGUCUCUUUCCCCACAGAUGUAACCAGGUUCCUGUGGAGGACACGGCUUUGCUAAGCCUGCCUGGCUUCUGUGUCCUCCUCUGGGCCUGAGUGCAGAGGGUGAGAGUCCACAUCCCCAGAACCAUGGGGACUGAACAGGAUUACUACAGAGCAGCAAAGAAGUGGGGCACCAAAGGAAAGAGUACACAACACCUUGUGAACACAGAAUUCUGGUGGACCCAGAAUAUGUGGGAGUUCAGUGAGACUUAAAGAGGAAAAGAUUUCUGCCUACACCAGGCCAGACAUCAAGGGAAAACAAUUAUCACAAAGACCUACGUGUGAACUAAUGCAAGCAGCUAAUGCCAAGCCUAACAUGCUCCAUAUGUGUUAGAAGUUUUAAGAUUUGACCUUCGAGAGCUGAGGGCAGGCCUCUGUCAGAACAGAGUAUGGAACAUGAAAUUGGUUAUGGAGCCGGACGAGAGGCUGAGAAUGUGGAUCGUCCUCCGAAGACGCUGUCCAGGGAAGACCUGGAGUGAAUCAUGGGCCAAGGGUGGAGGCCAAGUUACGGGGACAGAGAGGCGAAGACAAGGGCAGCAGUGCCCACAACAGGAAUUCCUACCCUUCAACUUUGUUCAUAGUGGUCCCUACUUUUAAUAUAUGUAAUGUAUUAAGACAGACAAUUCUGAGGUUGUAGUAACAAGGGAAAUGCAACUGGCACAGACAACCACUGAUUCUUUUUUUCAUGACUCCCCUAUUCGUGCUAACCUUUGUUCUGUGCCAAGUUCAUGACAAACCCCAGUUCAUUCCUGCAGCAAUGGGGGAAACUCUAAUCUUUGAGGGUAUUGGAAGGCUUCUGCCCUGCAGUCUUGUUGUGGGUUUACGCCUCCAAUUCCUAC
rnacentral:lncRNA from 1 species